UACGGAGGGGGCAAGCGUUAUCCGGCAUCACUGGGUUUAAAGGGUGCGUAGGCGGCUUGGUAAGUCAGGGGUGAAAGCCCGCAGCUUAACUGCGGAACUGCCUUUGAUACUGCCGAGCUUGAAAGAGGUUGAGGUCAGCGGAACGUGACAUGUAGCGGUGAAAUGCAUAGAUAUGUCACAGAACACCAAUUGCGAAGGCAGCUGGCUGGGCCUACUUUGACGCUGAGGCACGAAAGCGUGGGGAGCGAACAGG
rnacentral:rRNA from 1 species